UGGGGAAUUUUGCACAAUGGGGGAAACCCUGAUGCAGCGACGCCGCGUGAUUUAGAAGGCCUUCGGGUUGUAAAAAUCUUUUCUAUGGGAAGAAAAUGACAGUACCAUAGGAAUAAGGACCGGCUAAUUACGUGCCAGCAGCCGCGGUAAUACGUAAGGUCCGAGCGUUGUCCGGAAUCAUUGGGCGUAAAGGGUACGUAGGCGGGUAAGCAAGUUAGAAGUGAAAUCCUAUAGCGCAACUAUAGUAAGCUUUUAAAACUGCUCAUCUUGAGGUAUGGAAGGGAAAGUGGAAUUCCAAGUGUAGCGGUGAAAUGCGCAGAUAUUAGGAGGAAUACCGGUGGCGAAGGCGACUUUCUGGCCAUAACCUGACGCUGAGGUACGAAAGCGUGGGUAGCAAACAGG
rnacentral:rRNA from 1 species